GACGUAGGGCGCGAGCGUUGUCCGGAUUUAUUGGGCGUAAAGAGCGUGUAGGCGGCCAUGUAGGUCCGUUGUGAAAACUCGAGGCUCAACCUCGAGACGCCGAUGGAAACCAUGUGGCUAGAGUCCGGAAGAGGAGAGUGGAAUUCCUGGUGUAGCGGUGAAAUGCGCAGAUAUCAGGAAGAACACCCGUGGCGAAGGCGGCUUCCUGGGCCGCCCCUGACGCUGAGGCGCGAAAGCGUGGGGAGCGAACAGG
rnacentral:rRNA from 1 species